rnacentral:lncRNA from 1 species
GGAAGUUCGACCCGGUACAUGUCUGAUUUCUAUGUGAUUAGAUUUUCAAAAGGGUAUUACUAGUUGUGUUUUUACUUGAAUUCUAGAUUUUAAAAAUUGUGUGACACUUUUCUUUAUCAAUUUGCAUUGUUGCAGUUAAUAGGUGUUGCGAGAAAGAAUGGCAUGGUGAGUAGUUCUUUUGGAUGAUGAAGAAGCAAGUUGUGGUGUUUGAUUGA